AAAGUUUUGAGUCCAAAUGAGAGAAAAAAAAGGAUCCUCUUCAAGACCACAUACUUAACUACUGAUAAUGAUGGUGAUGAGUCUGCAUAUAGAAGUCAGAUUGAGCAGUUGGCUUUCUGGUGCAGCCUUAACAACCUGGAGCUGAACACGCUCAAAACAGUGGAGAUGAUCGUGGACUUCAGGAGAAACCCCACUGCACUCUCUCCACUCACCAUCAUGAACAGCACUGUGGCUGUAGUAGAGUCAUUCAGAUUCCUGGGAACCACCAUCUCUCAGGACCUGAAGUGGGACAAUCACAUAGACUCCAUUGUGAAGAAGGUCCAACAGAGAUUGUACUUCCAUCGCCAGCCGAGGAAGUUCAACCUGCCACAGGAGCUGCUCACACAGUUCUUCUCAGCCGUCAUUGAGUCUGUCCUGUGCACUUCUAUAACUGUCUGGUUUGGCUCAGCUACAAAAUCAGACAUUAGAAGACAAAAGUCGACUAUUCGGACUGCUGAAAGGAUUUCUGGUGCUCCCCUGCCCACGCUUCAAGAACUGUAUAUAUCCAGAGUGAGCGAAAGAGCUCAGAAAAUCACUUUGGAUGCCUCACAUCCAAGCCAUCUCCUUUUUUGAAUUUUUACCAUCUGGCCGGUGCUACAGAGCACUGAACACCAGGACAGCCAGGUUAAGAGUGCUUUGUUCUGGUGGCCUUUCUCAGCCCCUGUGGGUUGAUGUGUCAGCGGAUGAAGCCCUCUGGUCUUGACUACAAAGGUCAAAAUCUAACAGGAGGAAAUGGCCUUCAUGUACAUGAGCACAGCUUUGUUCUAGCCUGUGCUAAAAUUAGCACCCAGAACUGGAUACUACAACGCUUAUCUUUACUAUAUUAUACAUGUAAAUUAAU
ensembl:lncRNA